rnacentral:lncRNA from 1 species
UCUUUGCGACAAAUGAACUCCUCAAUUUGGAUCGAAUGAAUUUUAUGCCAAGAAUUAGAUCAGCUUCACCUAAAACUUUUACAACAAAAUAAUGAGAAAAAAAUUUCUUAACAUCAUCACUUAGAUCGAUGUCAAAAGAUAGAAACAAGAUAUCAUUAACAUAGACAAAAAAAGAAUGUAUCGAUCAUCAAAUCUUUUAUGAUAGAGAUAAUUGUCAAAUUUAUUGAUUUGAAAAUGAUAUGAAAGAAUAAUACUAUCAAAAUUUUCGUAUCAAGUUGAGUUAUGUAGAUUGCCUCAUUAAAAUCUCUAUGGAGAAAAGAUGUGCGUCACAUUCAUUUGAUGCACAAAGAGUUUAUGGAUGGAAGCA